AGAUGCACAGCCUAGCCGAUCCCUGGAUUGUAAAAAAGAACAAUACUACAAAGGAAGACAACCCCAAAUGAGGCUCUGCAGUCCUCAUACCCAGCAGCAGCCAAGAAAGGCUUGGUUCUUUGUCUGGAACAGAUGCUCACCCCACACCCCCAAAAAACUGCUUGGUCCAAAAGAUGGAGAAGAUGAGCAACAGAGUGACACUGAGGAUGACAGCCAGCAGACCCUAGACCUCUGUCACUGCCUCGUGACAGGGAAGAGGAAGUGAAGACAUGCAGGAGGAGGAUGGAACAGCUCUGGCUGAAGCUCGGAUAGUUUGCCAAAGAUCCUCACCAAUGAAUGCCUCCUUCUGUGGACGAUUCGUCCUUUCUACGAGCAGUCAUUGAGUUAAUGAGAGCUCGCCACAUGCCAGGCGCUGUGCUAGGCACUGGGUAAAUAAUGGGGAACAAAAUAGACAUGGUCUUUGACCUCAUGACAUUUAGAGUCUAGUGAGGGAAAGAGACAUUUAAUGAGUGAUGGGCAAUAAAUACACAAUUUUAAUUAAUACUAUAAAGGACGCAAAGGAAAAUGGGCUCAGGGGACUUGUUGCUUCAGGUGAGAUCACCAGGGAAGCUUUCUCCAGAGAGGUGAUAUGAAAGCCAAGACCAGAGGAUGAGAAGAAUCCAGCCCUGCAGGGUGGAAAAAGAGCAUUCGAGCUCAAGGGAACAGCAUGUGCCAAAGCCUUAGGACUUCCAUUCUCUGAAGUUCCACGGCCAAAGCUGUAAAGGGAUGCUCAAGAGGAGGGAUGAUCACUGUUGAAUCAGCACCUGGGCCCUUAUCUGCCGUGGUCACCUCAGGCCUUGUCUGUGGUUUCAGAGUCUGUCUCCAGGAGGGACUCUGGCCACUUAUCCACCAACGACUCACUCUCAAGCCAGGACAUCCCAAUACCACCCCAAAGACAUCGCCUCAGUCUGU